UUUGCUUGUUAACAGAUUUUUGGAACCACAUGUUUGGGCAACUGAUAAAGUAAGUUGGGACUUUAAGGAAUUGAGUUAAA